GAUGAACGCUGGCGGCGUGCCUAAUACAUGCAAGUCGAGCGAACGGACGAGAAGCUUGCUUCUCUGAUGUUAGUGGCGGACGGGUGAGUAACACGUGGAUAACUUACCUAUAAGACUGGGAUAACUUCGGGAAACCGUAGCUAAUACCGGAUAAUAUUUUGAACCGCAUGGUUCAAAAGUGAAAGACGGUCUUGCUGUCACUUAUAGAUGGAUCCGCGCUGCAUUAGCUAGUUGGUAAGGUAACGGCUUACCAAGGCAACGAUGCAUAGCCGACCUGAGAGGGUGAUCGGCCACACUGGAACUGAGACACGGUCCAGACUCCUACGGGAGGCAGCAGUAGGGAAUCUUCCGCAAUGGGCGAAAGCCUGACGGAGCAACGCCGCGUGAGUGAUGAAGGUCUUCGGAUCGUAAAACUCUGUUAUUAGGGAAGAACAUAUGUGUAAGUAACUGUGCACAUCUUGACGGUACCUAAUCAGAAAGCCACGGCUAACUACGUG
rnacentral:rRNA from 1 species